rnacentral:rRNA from 1 species
GAGUUUGAUCGUGGCUCAGGACGAACGCUGGCGGCGUGCCUAACACAUGCAAGUCGAGCGGAGCCAUCCGAACAAACCCUUCGGGGGGCGAUCGGGGAAGCUUAGCGGCGGACGGGUGAGUAACGCGUGAGUAACCUGCCCAUUAGUGGGGAAUAACACAGAGAAAUUUGUGCUAAUACCGCAUACGAAGUAAAAAGCGCAUGCUAAUUACUUGAAAGAUUUAUCGCUAAUGGAUGGACUCGCGUCUGAUUAGAUAGUUGGUAGGGUAACGGCCUACCAAGUCGACGAUCAGUAGCCGAACUGAGAGGUUGAUCGGCCACAUUGGGACUGAGACACGGCCCAGACUCCUACGGGAGGCAGCAGUGGGGGAUAUUGCGCAAUGGGGGAAACCCUGACGCAGCAACGCCGCGUGCAGGAAGACGGCC